rnacentral:lncRNA from 1 species
AUGGAUGCCACCAAAAAUCAUAAUCCAAUAAGAUUGCUUGAUUUGUGUACAAUCAGUGCAUGCUAUCUCCACAAACUGCUUUAGACACUUCCCACCAAUAACCAUAUACACAAUGUCACACCCAACUUGUACAAUCAGUUGCUGAGGUAGAACAAUCCAUGCUCCAAGUUUUGGUCCAAAAGCAUGUCUACCAAGAUCAAUAUAACGAUCGAAACGAGUUCCCGGAACACAUUCAUGUAGCUGGAUCAUUUGCCACAUUGUGUUUAAUGUUAGACACCAUGAUAGUAACAACAUCAAGAUCCCUGGACCCCUACAUAGAAGACAAAAGAUUAUUACUACUAUUUUUUAUAUGUAUGUAUUAUUGACAAAUAAUAGAUAAAGUUACUCUAAUUUACCAUCCUAAAUAUGCCAUGGCAUAUGGCAGGCUGAGAACACCGGCACCUAUCAUGGCUGUCACCGUGUGGAAAGUCGAGUACCACCAUUUGGCUCGGCGAGCGGGGCCAUUCUCCACCUCUUUUUGUUCUGAUUGAGUUUCCUACAAUUGUGGAACAUACUAAUUAACUACAUGUUUAAACUAGUGCAUGAGACCAUGCUAACAAAAUUUGGUAUACACACACAAUGACUUGGAAUUACCUUAGAAGGUAGAGAAGGAGUGGAAACCAUUUUUAGUCACUCACAAAGAAGAUCAAAGAAUGAGAAGACCCUAGGAUGUUGGAAUCAAAGUGAAGUACUUAAGUUUUAUAGUAACAAAUAUUUGAUGCUAAUAAUAGUAAACAUGUGCACCCUACCACCUAGUGUUUUUCUUGCCACUUGUGCUUUUGUUGUUGCUGCUUAAAGUGCUUCUUAUGACUUUGAAUCAAAUCAAAUUCAAAAGAAGUGACUGAAUUCAAUGAAUAAAGUUUCAAUGAAAGGUAAAACCACUUUAAACCUAACAAUUAAAGCAAGAUUAUCUUAGGAGUUGUUUUUCCAUCACUAAUUGAUUCUAUUUCUGAUUAUAUUUCAUCCAACCCUGUCUAGUUACAAAGUAGGAAACCUGUAUAUAGUUUAUAGUAAUAUAUUUCUAUGUGAAAUUCCUAACCAAGAAUAAUUUUUAUGAUGGAACAUCAAUUAAGUUAGUAUUAUUUUGGUGGUGUUAGGGACAAUAGAAACUUCACUUUUUUUUCAGUGGGGUAAGUGAAUUGUUCUGCAUAUCAAAGAAUCAUAUAUAUUAAAAAUUUUAAAUUUUUGAUUGAUGGGAACAUUUUAUUGGUAAGUGAAAGGUAUAUAAAACUUUAAUCAUUACAGUUAUUGAAUAUUGACAGUGGUAUUUGUUUAUCUUGGUAAAUUUGGGUUAAUGAUUAAACUUUGUGGCAUGGUGUCGCUGUUUAAACUUAGUGGAAGGGAGCGGAAAUAUGUACCACUAGAAUUUAUUUUCUACUGCUCACCUAAAAAACAACACCAUGUUAUGUUAAGAAUCUUAUGUCUAGUUUGGUCUGAUCGGCCAUUCAAUUUCAAUUCAUAUCUUAUAAGAAUGAUUAGUUAUUAAUAAUUAAUAUUAUGUUGGGAUGGAAUCUAAGCAUCUCUAUUUUUGCUUCUUAAUUCGGUAACUCUAUAGUUGUCUGUCACAAUUUACUAUUUUAACUCGGGACGUUUUCUGUCGCAAGCAAUAACACUUGUUCUCUUGUGUUCUAAUUAUUCCAUCACAUACAUUAUACAUAGUUGUAUAAGAUAAGAAGAUAUGCACCGGCUUGCUAAAGAUCAUUUGUACCUUCUACACCAUGCCAUUCAACAUGUGUUUUAUUUGGUGACAACUAGGCUACCCAUGAAAGAAUGAUGGGUAAUUUACACCAACCAAUACACAUUAGCCACAUAAGCACAUAUUCAUGAACUAUCUUGACCUCACAAAUAAAUUGCUAAUUGUUAUUGGUUGGUGGGUAAAUUACCCACAAUUCUUUAAAGGUAAUUUAGAAAAAUCCGUCCUAUUAUUAUUCUUUUAAAAUUACGAGCAGACAACUUUUUUCCUCCCUAAAAACUUACAAAAUUUCAUUUUUUUUUAUUGUCCACAUAAAAAUGUUAUUAUUUUUAACAUGUGAUGAAUUAAAUAAGAUUUUUUUAAUUUCAAAAGCUCAAUGUUAAAAGUAAUGAAUCUUGACCUAUCUUCAACUCCUUUUUUUAGAGAAAUUUUUUAUAAUGUUCAAAAUAUGCCUGUAAAAAAUCAUUAAAAAAUACACAUUGAUUUAACAAGAGAUUAUAACUGCGUAUAAAGAAAAUUUUGUAAGUACAAAAUCAUGCCAUUUUUUAUGGAGGAAAAAUUAAAUUUGGUAAUUUUUUAGGUAAAAAAAACUUAUCUAACUCUUAAAAUUAAUCGUUCAAUAACUAUGAUUCAUCAUAAUAAAAGAGUAAAGAUAUUUGUUAAAGUUUGGGAUAAUUGUAACAUCAUGCACUUUAGGUAUAAAAACUAUAAGUGGAUGAAUCAACAAUAAUGUUCCUCAAGCCACCAAUUGUAGAUGCCAACAUAAUACACACACCUAUGCAAAUUGCAACCUGAAAUGAAAGAAACGUAAAUUUUUAUUUUUUAAUGACAAAUAUAAGAGAAACAUAUAUUAUAUUCUGAUUUUAGAUUGUUACAUUUUUUAAAGAAAAAUUGCUAACGUGAAUUGAUCAUUACCCAAUUGAUGAACCAAUUGAUACUGAAUCUCCUUGGCUUCUUGAUUAUCAACCACAUUAUACUAGGAAGCUGAAAUAAUUCACAAGAAAAUAAUUCAUCUUUUGAUUUUAUAAUUAAUUCAUUUAAAAAUUUGACAAUUUGACAUAAGCAUAGAGAAAUUGAGAGGACAAGAGUGCCUUACAAAAUAUGACGUGGGAGCAAAACCAAAUCCACCAAAGAACCCAAGAAGAUCUCCAAAGAAAGGAAAACUCACCCCAAAUAAUAAUGUAAAAGCUGAAACAUAUCAACAAAUUGUAGCAACAUCAAGAUUUUCAUGAAGAAAUUAAAUAAUACUUCUAUAACUUACUCUACUACUGAAAAUUUGCUAUGUAAUAUUAAUGAUAACAUAGAUUAGUUUUGACUCAAGUUUUGCCAUCUUACCUACAUAGGCGGAUCGAGCUACAAGUCUAAGCGCUACACUAGGAGGGAAGUUCAAUCGUCGAACCAUCGUCCCCUCAAUCAAGUCGAAAACAGGCAUGGCAUAAACCUAUAACAUAUUUUCGCGCCAUUAAUCAAAAAAGAAAAUUUAAGGUAGAAAAACAUUUUUUGUUUUCGCUUAUAAUCACAAAAUUGUCGCUAUUUUCGCCAAUUUCAUGUCUUGGUUUUGCAUAGAGACCUACCUGGUAGCUACCAAGAACAUUGAUGAAUACCAUCAAAUUAGCAGAAGCAACAAGCCAUGAAGGUCUUUCAAGUGACAUAAGUAUGUUAUCAUCAACAUCUUGUCCAAAAGCCCAAUAUCCUAAGGUUGCAACAGGGAAAUAGCAUAUUGCAUUGAUUAAAUAGGCACAAAUAGCACCUUUCCACAUUGGUAUCUUUGAGGGUUUCUCAGGUGUUGAUGGAAUUGUAGCCUGAAUUUCUAGUGUCACUGCUUGGCCAGAAAAUGCAAAUGAGAUUUGACCAAGUGCACUGAAGACUCUAAACAAUAAAUCAGUUUUGCUGAUUUGCUUGUAUGCAUAGUUAACAUUGUCAAUCCGACCUCUAGAUAAGCAUGCCACCCAUGCUAUAGUUGAAUAGCUGCAGUCAAAAUCACACUAUAUAGUAAGGUAUAUAUAUAUAUAUAUAAAUGUUUUAGAAGUGAUAAUCACUUAUUUUAAUUUGUUUUAUGGUAUGAAAUUAAUCCAAAUACUUUAUGGAAAAGAAUAAAUGUUGGAUCAACAAGUACCUUAAUGACAUCACAGAUGCUGCUAAAGAAACACCAGAAACAGAAUUGAAAUUAGGAAGCUGAGACAGGAAAAAAUGGAUGCCACCAAAAAUCAUAAUCCAAUAAGUCUGCUUGAUUUGUGUACAACUGAUGAAUGCCAUCUCAACAAAAUUCUUUAGACACUUCCCACCAAUAACCAUAUAAACAGUGUCACACCCAACUUGUACAAUCAGUUGCUGAGGUAGAACAAUCCAUGCUCCAAGUUUUGGUCCAAAAGCAUGUCUACCAAGAUCAAUAUAUCGAUCGAAACGAGUUCCCGGAACACAUUCAUGUAGCUGGAUCAUUUGCCACAUUGUGUUUAAUGUUAGACACCAUGAUAGUAACAACAUC